AAUAUUGCGCAAUGGGCGAAAGCCUGACGCAGCAACGCCGCGUGAAGGAUGAAGGCUUUCGGGUUGUAAACUUCUUUUCUGGGGGAUGAGAAAGGACAGUACCCCAGGAAUAAGGCCCGGCUAACUACGUGCCAGCAGCCGCGGUAAAACGUAGGGGCCAAGCGUUAUCCGGAUUUACUGGGCGUAAAGCGCAUGUAGGCGGCUGCUUAAGUCGGACGUGAAAGCUCCUGGCUCAACUGGGAGAGGCCGUUCGAAACUAGGUAGCUUGAGGGUGGUAGAGGAAAGUGGAAUUCCCGGUGUAGUGGUGAAAUGCAUAGAUAUCGGGAGGAACACCAGUGGCGAAGGCGGCUUUCUGGGCCAUUCCUGACGCUGAGAUGCGAAAGCUAGGGGAGAGAACGGGAUUAGAAACCCCGGUAUUCCUAGCCGUA
rnacentral:rRNA from 1 species